rnacentral:rRNA from 1 species
GAUGAACGCUGACAGAAUGCUUAACACAUGCGAGUCUUUGGCGAAGCUGUGCUUGCACCGCCUAGCCAAGGCGGACGGGUGAGUAACGCGUAAGGAACUUGCCCUGCAGUCAGGGAUAACAGACGGAAACGACUGAUAAGACCUGGUAAAGUCAGGCGGACUCAUGUCCAGCCUGAUGAAAAGAGAUGCUGCAGGAGAGCCUUGCGUCCUAUUAGCUUGUUGGUGGGGUAACGGCCCACCAAGGCGAUGAUAGGUAGCCGGCCUGAGAGGGUGGACGGCCACAAGGGGACUGAGAUACGGCCCUUACUCCUACGGGAGGCAGCAGUGGGGAAUAUUGGACAAUGGGGGCAACCCUGAUCCAGCAAUUCUGUGUGCACGAUGAAGGUUUUCGGAUUGUAAAGUGCUUUCAGCAGGGAAGAAAAAAAUGACGGUACCUGCAGAAGAAGCGACGGCUAAAUACGUG